rnacentral:rRNA from 1 species
AGCAGCAGCCGCGGUAAUACGUAGGGUGCAAGCGUUAAUCGGAAUUACUGGGCGUAAAGCGUGCGCAGGCGGUUAUAUAAGACAGAUGUGAAAUCCCCGGGCUCAACCUGGGAACUGCAUUUGUGACUGUAUAGCUAGAGUACGGCAGAUGGGGAUGGAAUUCCGCGUGUAGCAGUGAAAUGCGUAGAUAUGCGGAGGAACACCGAUGGCGAAGGCAAUCCCCUGGGCCUGUACUGACGCUCAUGCACGAAAGCAUGGGGAGCAAACAGGAUUAGAUACCCCGGUAGUCCCUGUCUCUUAUAC